rnacentral:rRNA from 1 species
CUACGGGUUGCUGCAGUGGGGAAUAUUGGACAAUGGGGGCAACCCUGAUCCAGCAAUGCCGCGUGUGUGAAGAAGGCCUGCGGGUUGUAAAGCACUUUCAGUAGGGAGGAAGGUUUGAUGGUUAAUACCCAUCAAAAUUGACGUUACUUACAGAAGAAGCACCGGCUAACUCUAUGCCAGCAGCCGCGGUAAUACAGAGGGUGCGAGCGUUAAUCGGAAUUACUGGGCGUAAAGGGUGCGUAGGUGGUUAAAUUAGUUAGGUGUGAAAGCCCUGGGCUCAACCUGGGAAAGUCGCUUAAUACUGUUUAACUAGAGUACUGUAGAGGGAAGUGGAAUUUCCGGUGUAGCGGUGAAAUGCGUAGAUAUCGGAAGGAACACCAGUGGCGAAGGCGGCUUCCUGGACAGAUACUGACACUGAGGCACGAAAGCGUGGGUAGCAAUCAGGAUUAGAUACCCGAGUAGUC